GUCUUCCCAAGAUUUCUGGACACACCAGGACUGAUAGAACAAGAUUUCAGACUUCUGUUUGGUGAGGCCACAGCCAACAAAUUCUUGGAGAAGUGGCCAACCACUUUCAAAGCAAAAGUAAUAAAGGAAAGCCAUGGACUUGUAUCCACCACAGAACUCUUGGAUUUGAUGCGCAAUGCUGAGUCAGCUGCUGAAGUUGAGAAUGGCUGGGACAGUGACAUGUCUGCCAUCUUGCUGCUGCUACAUUUGCUACCACCAUCUGCACAAGGUAGAAAGAGGCCGGGG